CACCCUCUUUUCUUAUCAUUGACAUUUAAACUCUGGGGCAGGUCCUCGCGUAGAACGCGGCUGUCAGAUCUGCCACUUUCCCUGCCGAGCGGCGGUGAGAAGUGUGGGAACCGGCGCCGCCUGGCUCACCUGCCUCCCCGCCCUCCGCACCCAGGGAUCGGAGAAUCGCUCUCACACACCCAACCAGCAGCGUCCGUGGAGAAAACUCUCGCCAGCAACUCCUUUAAAAACACCAUUUCCAAGCCUUGUGGUCUUUAAUAAGCAACUACCGCCAAACCAAAAAGCAAAAGCAAAACCCCUACUAACCCAACACAACUCUUGACAGGAGCUUUCGCGAGAGAGGAUGCCGCAUCAAGGAGGAAGACUUUAACUAGGGGCGCGCAGAUGUGUGAGACCCUUUAUUGUAAGAGUGGACAGACAUCUCAGAUCUCAGG